rnacentral:lncRNA from 1 species
CACAGCCUGGACCGGCCUGCCUCCACUCGGCGAGCCGCGGGGACCCGGCCGACAGCCGGGCUCACGCUCUCACGAGCCCCUGAUCUGCCGGUGCUUGCUCUGCGGACUGAGCCGGGAGAUGCCGAGGGCUCCGGUGGGGUCCGCCCGUACCCGGCCCGUGCGCAGGGAGCUCGGGCUCCAGCGAGGAGAGGCGCUCCAAGCCUCCUCGCAGCUUUCAGGCUGGGUAGAGACCCGCUUCCUGGCAAGGUGGGGAUCCUGUCCGACAGGAUAUAUUGUGCCGAGGCUUUGUGGACUCCAGGACCGCCCCCCGCCAUUGCUGCGACGCAGUGACCUGGGGGCGGCGCCCACCUCCAAGGGCCGGGAUCUCGAGCCGGAUGGAGCCCUCUGUCACUUCUGCUCAGGUUUUCCAGGGUCCCGCAGCUGCAGCUGACUAGCCACCCGCGCCUCC